rnacentral:rRNA from 1 species
CGAGUAGAGCGGCGCACGGGUGAGUAACGCGUGGGUAACCUACCUCCAGGCGGGGGAUAACGACUCGAAAGGGUCGCUAAUACCGCAUGAGACCACGGGGUCCUCGGACCCUGGGGCCAAAGGCGGCACCGGCUUGCCGGUGCUGUCACCGGGAGAUGGGCCCGCGUCCGAUUAGCUAGUUGGUGGGGUAACGGCCCACCAAGGCUGCGAUCGGUAGCUGGUCUGAGAGGAUGACCAGCCACACUGGAACUGGAACACGGUCCAGACUCCUACGGGAGGCAGCAGUGAGGAAUAUUGCGCAAUGGGGGAAACCCUGACGCAGCAACGCCGCGUGGGUGAAGAAGGCCUUCGGGUCGUAAAGCCCUUUCGGACGGGACGAACGCUUCGCGGUGACAACCCGCGAAGCUUGACGGUACCGUAGGAAGAAGCACCGGCUAACUCCGUGCCAGCAGCCGCGGUAA